GUCUACGGCCAUACCACCCUGAACGCGCCCGAUCUCGUCUGAUCUCGGAAGCUAAGCAGGGUCGGGCCUGGUUAGUACUUGGAUGGGAGAAAUAUGGGGAACCAGUAUUUC
rnacentral:rRNA from 1 species